UGGGGAAUAUUGGACAAUGGGGGCAACCCUGAUCCAGCAAUGCCGCGUGUGUGAAGAAGGUCUUCGGAUUGUAAAGCACUUUCGACGGGGACGAUGAUGACGGUACCCGUAGAAGAAGCCCCGGCUAACUUCGUGCCAGCAGCCGCGGUAAUACGAAGGGGGCUAGCGUUGCUCGGAAUGACUGGGCGUAAAGGGCGUGUAGGCGGUUUACACAGUCAGAUGUGAAAUCCCCGGGCUUAACCUGGGAGCUGCAUUUGAUACGUGUAGACUAGAGUGUGAGAGAGGGUUGUGGAAUUCCCC
rnacentral:rRNA from 1 species